UAACCUCCCACAUCAGCUUGCUAUUAGCAGCGAGAAGUCGUCGCCCAGAUCCAGAGCCACUCCGUUUCUCGCACGCACUCCUCUUCGAGGAGAGAGAGAGAGGGGGGGAGGGAGCGACUUAGAUCUCGAUCUCCUGUACGGUGGGCCAAUGGCGCGCGUCGAUCCCGCCACCGCUGCUCCACCUCUUCGUCUCCGCAACCAUGGUGGCUUUCUCUUCUUCUUCCUCCUCCUCCUCCUUUUCUCCUCCGUCGAUGCCUCCGUCCACAGCUACAUUGGCGAGAAGUUCACGCCAAAGGGCAACGCGUUCGUCCUCCAUGGCGGCAGCGAGGGCCUGUACGCUUCGCUUCCCCACGCCAACGCCACCGCCGGCCGCGGCGACUCGUUCAUCCGCUUUGAGAAGAUCACUUUCACACGGCCUGAGAAAUCUGUUUGAGAACAGUAAAGAUGGUGAUUCUGUUUUGGUGCAAGCUAUCAUAUUUGAAGUAGAAGAUCGGGAGACAAUUGGUGGGUCAGCCUAUGGUGGUCAACGAGCUGUUUGCUGCACACCAGAUCUGGCAAAAUUGGGUGCUUGCACCCAAGGCGCAGUCAUCUAUCGGCCCUCUGCUCAGAAUCCUAAGUGGCCUCAGGUGCUUGCUGCCACUUUUAAUGGAAAGGAUCUUGUUGCAACAUUGCCAUCCCAGAGUAUACCCAUCACAAGAACUGGGAUGUACAACCUGUAUUUUAUAUAUUGUGACCCAGCUCUUAAUGGGCUGGUCAUAGACGGGAAGACCGUGUGGAAAAAUCCCACUGGCUACCUGCCAGGAAGGAUGGCUCCUCUCAUGAACUUUUAUGGAUUCAUGUCUCUUGCAUUUGUGAUACUUGGGAUAUUUUGGUUUUCACAGUAUGUGAGAUUUUGGAGAGAGGUUCUUCCACUCCAGAACUGCAUAACACUUGUCAUCGCAUUAGGCAUGCUGGAAAUGGCAUUGUGGUACUUCGAGUAUGCUGAAUUCAAUGAAACUGGACUUAGACCAAUGGGGAUCACCUUUUGGGCAGUAACGUUUGGUUCAGUUAAACGAACAGUGUCGUGGGUUAUUAUUCUAGUUGUUUCUAUGGGGUAUGGUGUUGUCAGGCCUACCUUGGGUGGUCUCACAUCGAAGGUGAUUAUGCUUGGAGCAACAUUUUUCCUUGCUUCUGAGAUACUUGAGUUGGUGGAGAAUGCUGGUGCUGUAAGUGAUUUUGCCGGAAAAGCAAGACUCUUUUUGGUUCUUCCCGUGGCGCUUUUGGAUACAUUUUUCAUUAUAUGGAUCUUUACUUCUCUUUCCAAAACUCUGGACAAGCUCCAGGCAAGGCGAUUGAUAGCUAAGCUAGACAUUUACAGGAAAUUCACAAAUGCAUUGGCCAUCACUGUUCUUGUAUCUGUUGGAUGGAUUUGCUAUGAGCUUUAUUUCAAGUCAAAUGAUGUAUACAAUGGGCACUGGCAGAAUGCCUGGAUCAUUCCUGCGUUUUGGCAGGUCCUGUCGUUCUCUCUUCUCUGCGUAAUUGCUGCUCUUUGGGCGCCCUCUCAAAACUCAAUGAGAUAUGCUUACUCAGAUGAUGGAUCUGAAGAUUUUGAUCGAGAGGACUCACUUUCUCUAAUAAAGCCAGGACCAGUUUCUUCAAAGGAUGCCCGUGGUUCUGCUGGUUUGAUGGAUGCUAGAGCAGCUGUGAGCAAUGACACUACCACCUCACACAAUGGCGACAUCGAAGAAGAUAAAAGGGAGUAGCAACACGAUCAGCAUCUACCUGCUUGUAGUGGCUAGUUUGUUAUCGAAGGAUUUGAUUAGCUUGUACGACUUAGCAGUAAUUUACUUUAUAUCGGUUGACGAAAAAUAGUACUCGUUCUGUUGUCCUGUUGUUUUAGAGACCGGCAAAUAGCAAUCUCUUCUUUUAUCUUUUCAUUUCUUAGUCCCCCAUUCAUUCUUUUUUGUACCAAAUGGGUUUUCAAGAGGUGAAUUACUGCCGGAUUAUUCAAAAGUGUGCUUUGGAUUCUGCACUUGCAAUCUCUUCUUUUAA